GGCGACGCUGGCGGCGUGCCUAAUACAUGCAAGUCGAGCGGACAGAAGGGAGCUUGCUCCCGGAUGUUAGCGGCGGACGGGUGAGUAACACGUGGGUAACCUGCCUGUAAGACUGGGAUAACUCCGGGAAACCGGAGCUAAUACCGGAUAGUUCCUUGAACCGCAUGGUUCAAGGAUGAAAGACGGUUUCGGCUGUCACUUACAGAUGGACCCGCGGCGCAUUAGCUAGUUGGUGGGGUAAUGGCUCACCAAGGCGACGAUGCGUAGCCGACCUGAGAGGGUGAUCGGCCACACUGGGACUGAGACACGGCCCAGACUCCUACGGGAGGCAGCAGUAGGGAAUCUUCCGCAAUGGACGAAAGUCUGACGGAGCAACGCCGCGUGAGUGAUGAAGGUUUUCGGAUCGUAAAGCUCUGUUGUUAGGGAAGAACAAGUGCGAGAGUAACUGCUCGCACCUUGACGGUACCUAACCAGAAAGCCACGGCUAACUACGUGCCAGCAGCCGCGGUAAUACGUAGGUGGCAAGCGUUGUCCGGAAUUAUUGGGCGUAAAGGGCUCGCAGGCGGUUUCUUAAGUCUGAUGUGAAAGCCCCCGGCUCAACCGGGGAGGGUCAUUGGAAACUGGGAAACUUGAGUGCAGAAGAGGAGAGUGGAAUUCCACGUGUAGCGGUGAAAUGCGUAGAGAUGUGGAGGAACACCAGUGGCGAAGGCGACUUCUGGUCUGUAACUGACGCUGAGGAGCGAAAGCGUGGGGAGCGAACAGGAUUAGAUACCCUGGUAGUCACGCCGUAAACGAUGAGUGCUAAGUGUUAGGGGGUUUCCGCCCCUUAGUGCUGCAGCUAACGCAUUAAGCACUCCGCCUGGGGAGUACGGUCGCAAGACUGAAACUCAAAGGAAUUGACGGGGGCCCGCACAAGCGGUGGAGCAUGUGGUUUAAUUCGAAGCAACGCGAAGAACCUUACCAGGUCUUGACAUCCUCUGACAACCCUAGAGAUAGGGCUUUCCCUUCGGGGACAGAGUGACAGGUGGUGCAUGGUUGUCGUCAGCUCGUGUCGUGAGAUGUUGGGUUAAGUCCCGCAACGAGCGCAACCCUUGAUCUUAGUUGCCAGCAUUCAGUUGGGCACUCUAAGGUGACUGCCGGUGACAAACCGGAGGAAGGUGGGGAUGACGUCAAAUCAUCAUGCCCCUUAUGACCUGGGCUACACACGUGCUACAAUGGACAGAACAAAGGGCUGCAAGACCGCAAGGUUUAGCCAAUCCCAUAAAUCUGUUCUCAGUUCGGAUCGCAGUCUGCAACUCGACUGCGUGAAGCUGGAAUCGCUAGUAAUCGCGGAUCAGCAUGCCGCGGUGAAUACGUUCCCGGGCCUUGUACACACCGCCCGUCACACCACGAGAGUUUGCAACACCCGAAGUCGGUGAGGUAACCUUUAUGGAGCCAGCCGCCGAAGGUGGGGCAGAUGAUUGGGGUGAAGUCGUAACAAGGUAGCCGACGACG
rnacentral:rRNA from 1 species